rnacentral:ncRNA from 2 species
GGGUGCCAUGGUUCGACGAGCCUUGGCAGGUUGAUGCGCUGGUCGGGCCGCCAGCG